GUCAUGUCCAUGUAUUUCAGUCUACUUCUUCACCCACGCAUACCAAGGAAGCAGUUGGAAGAGAUUUGGGAAGGGAUGGAAUCAAAAGAUAAAAGCAGAAAUUGGUGUAAUACAUUCUAGUUAUCAGUUUGCAGAAAUAACUUUUAAAUAAAAAGAUGCACUAGAGAGAUGGCUCAGCAAUUCAGAGCACUUGGUGUUGUUACAGAGGACCCGGGUUCCAUUUCCAGAACGCAUGCCAGUUAACCAUUUGCUGUAACUCCAGUCCCAGGCAUCUCCUGCCUUCUUCCCACCUCUGAAAAGAGUGGUUUUUGAAAUAUCGCCCAUACCCUCCUUGCUUCCUGAAGCUUUCCAUGGCAGAUGACCAAUUGUUUUUGUAUCUCAACAUCCUAUCAUCUCAAAAUACAACACUGGCUUCACCUUGAGAACUUCAGUCAAUGAACUCUCACAGUGUAUUCACUGGUCUUCUAACUCUGCCAGAUUCCUACAGUGUUGAACUGAAACCACAAGGGAAGAAUCUAUGAUCUAUAACUUUUGGACCAGUUUCUACUUUCUCUUUAUUCCAUGCCUUCUCAAAUACUUUGUUACAACUUUUUCCUCAUAAAGUAUGUAUG